UGAUUCCGAAGGCAUCCUGGAGGACUUUGGCCAUCGGCGCCAGGCAGUUGGUGGUGCAGGAGGCCACGGAGAUGAUGGUGUCAUCCGGGGUCAG
rnacentral:tRNA from 1 species